UUAUUCAAGUGGUGUUCUGUGCAUUCGGUGUCAAUCAACGUUGAAAUCGUACCAGCACUUCAUUCACAUGAAUUGAAGCAGAAUUGCGGUGUAAGCAUCGGAAACCAUUCAAUCGAUCAAAAUUUGAUGACGCAAUCUUGUUCUAUUCAGUACUAAUUCAAUUAUUUUUUCAUUGUAUUGAUUCAACAGGAUUCGUUUAUUUGAUUCGUUGCAGCUUAUUGGCAGGUGAAGAAAAUGGAGAUUAGAAGUGCAUGAAUUUGAUUCGUUGAUUUAUUCAUACUGACUCGAACCGUUGAUGUUCGACUACGGUGUAGUUAAAUCAAUUCCAAUUGCUAACUCCAUUUCAAUUUACUGAACAAUUAUCGGUGGUCGGUUUAAUUCGUUGAAGCGCCAUACAUAUGCAGAAGCUUUUUUUCAGUCGUUUAGCUUUAUUCAAAUCAACCUCCUUUGAUUUUUGGAGACUGAGCGGACGCGUUUGGUGCCUUUUGAUUGACAUUCACGUGAAGCGGUGGAAGCAAAUUUCAAGGCAGCAGGUGAGAUAGCAAUUUUGAUAAAAAAAGCAGGUGAGACUUUGAUUGAAUCAAUAAAUCAACAUUCUCAUCAUAAGUCUCAGAUUUUAUAACAGCAAAUUAAAUUUGUGAUAAGCUUCAUUUUAUAAAUUUUAGUGUCGAUUGCAUAUUAUUUAUCAACUUUACGUCAAAAAUGUUAUUAAAAAUUAUAUUAAUAACAAAAUUAUGUAAUAUCAAAAUGUUUAUUUAUAAAAUUAAACCUUAUAAACGUAGUAACCUAGAUCAUACUGGAAGCCUCCGGACUUCCUGCUAUUCUUUACCACAUCGUUCAAUCCUCUCUACAUGAGAAGAAAGUCCAUUGGAGCAUCAGGAAGACCCCCAAGACUGAGCUCCUACUUUCAUUCUAAAACACUAGGAAUCUCACCGAGAAAUCUUACAUUUGAACCACCACCAAAUACCUUAAAAUCAUGUUUCUUCCUUUCCCAAGUUACAUACCUUUAAACCAAAAUUCACCAUUAUAUUCCUUCCAACCAUACACGUUAUACAUAUACAACUUAUACAUACUCAGACAUUACAUAUUUUCACAGAAAUAUCACUUAUUAACACAAAUUUCUUUAUAGCAUAUUAUUACCAACACUUACGUAAUUUAAAAAGCUUAGAAACCCUUACCAAUGGCUCCGGGAGGGUCAAAAACCCCCAAAACGAACUAAAGAACGUCCAAAACGGACAUACGAAACUCCAAAAAAAUAAAAACAUAAAAAAUACUCAAUCUCCCACACUUAAUUCGCUCAGCACACCUCCCUAUGCGCUCAACGAAUUUUGUCUGUAGGGAAAGCUAAAUUCUGUAGAUUUUUACAACCCAACACCCCAAAAUUCGUCCUAGACCUCUUCCCUAACUUCUAAGACCCCUAAUUUGUGAUAUGGACUCAUUUAAUCGUGUCUAAAUGGAUUUUACACAUUCCUAUAGUGAUUUUUGAAGGGAUUUAGGCUUGUAUCUAUCUCUAAUUUACCAAUUUCUAGGACUUCGGGACUUUGUUUCUCACUUACCAAUUCUAGCAAGUUUUGGCUCAGUUAUGUGCUUAACAAGUUUAAUAGACUCACCCAUACUGCCUGAACAGACCAACUAUACCCAGAACCCCAAAGACUCAAAAUCGCUCCCUCACUCCCUUUAACUCGACCCAUAAUGGUUCCUGUUUGCCAAAUUAUCUAGUUGGACUACAUCACAAUGAGACACUUCCCCCCCCCCCCAAACACUCCCUUAUUACCCAAUUGGUCACUGUUGAGUGUUUAGAUGUCUGACGCAUCAGACUCACCUUCGACGCCAACAAAUAUGACUAGUCACAACGUAUUGGACCAGGCCAAGGCCGCUCUAUGUUAGGGAUGUGCCAGAUCAGGUUUUUAAGUCCCCUCUAGCCUCCAAAUGUACAGUUCAAUGCCUCAAUUCCUUUCAACCUAGUUAAAACAAUAUUCCAAAGAGUCAUAGUACCAUCAAAACCACAACACAGGAGGAUUUUCAGCCAAGACAUUUUCAACAUACCAAAUCCCAACACUUAGAGUCAUUCAAAACAUAAUACAAACAACAUAUUACCAAUUCAUAUAUUAAUACUUUUCAUCAGUUUCACAGUUCAGAACAAACUCAACAGAUACGUAAAACUUUUAUCAAUGCACCAGUUCAGUGACAAAGUACAAACUAUUUAAGUACAGUAACAUAGUAUACAAGCCCAAUAACAUGCACAUUUCAUAAUUUAACAUACCAUCAUAUUACACAAAUAAAUUAGGUUAUAUAAUCAGCUCCCUUUACCUAGAUUCCAAGCAUAGCUAAUUUAGGAAUCCCUAACAGUACCUCUACACAGAGGCAAACCCACAGUACUUAUAAUACACCAAGAUGGCGUAGAGUAAAGCUCUUUAGAACUUGAUUGGGCAGAAAACAUGAAGAGGAACAAUUACUAGACACAUACAACCCACAAAGUUGCAUUCCCCAGUUACAGGAACAGUGAAAGAAAAAGGGGAUAUCCACUUACCAGGCAAAUUGAAGAAAUGUUCGGUUCAAAUCAAAGCUUUCUGCACCAAGAGCGAUUUGGCAGCAUCAAAUCAAGAUUUGAACAGUCCAAAGUUCUACUAGAAUUUUAGAGAGAAGUCAGAGAAAAUGUUAGGGAAGGGUUCUAGAGAGAGAGUGGAAAAUCUGAAAAAUGAGAAAUCUAAUUCACUGAGAGACCCCUUUCCAAGAUUCAGACACUCUUAAUCUGAUGGACCUGACUGCCCCUAACUAUAAGGCCCAAUGGUUUAAAAAAAAGGCUUAAUACUGCUUUUGGUCCCUAGUUUGGGAGGGUUUGUUCAAUAUGGUCCUACCUUUUUUUUUUUCAUAACAAUUAAUCCUACCUUUUGAAAAAACUGUUCAAUUGAGUCCUUUUUGUUCAUAGUGGUCUCAUAUUCAAGUUUAAAUUGUUUAUUAUAGUCCUUAUUGUAUACGAUGAUGACAUGAUUUUUAACAUAACCUUAUGUCAAGACUGUUAAAAUAACAUUUGCAUAGGUGAAUGCAUGAAAGAACUUAUUGACGUCAUAACCAGCACCGUUAAAAAAUUGACGUCAUAACCAAAAAGGAGUCAAUUGAACAGUUUUUUAAAAAAGUGGAAUCAAUUGUUACUAAAAAAAGGUAGGACCAUAUUGAACAAAACCUCCCAAACUAGGGACCAAAAGCGGUAUUAAGCCAAAAAAAAAUUUGGGCCCUUAUAAUUAUAAAAGUAAUAUUCAGCUAAUGUAAAAUAAUUGUCGUCGAUUGUUACUUGCCCAAAAUUGGUUUAGUUAUCAUUUUUAUUACGUUGAGAAAUAGUGUGAAUAAUUUAGAUGGAUUUGAUAAUAAAGUUUUUUUUCUGAAAUAAAUUUUAUAUCUUCUAAUCCUGAAUAAUCUCUCACGGGUAGUAGUUACCUAUCCUUUUGAAAUCGAUUUCAAUCUCUUCUCUUCUUUUUCUUUAUUUUCUUUGUCACCUACAAAUGACCUUCGCAUAAGAAUAAUAUUAUAAAAUAUUUUUUGUCCCUCACAAAUCUCCUCCAAAGUGACAAGAUAAUAUCACAAACUUCUCCUGCAAACCGAUAUUUUCCCUUACAGUCAAAUCCUUAAAUGUAAAAGUCAAAUUCACUCAAAUAUCUAUCAUCUAUUCUUACUAAAUCUGGACAAGGAUAUCAAUUAUAAUAAUUAGUUUUAAAUUGUAAUAAUUAGUAUAUUUACUUUCCCUUUAUUUCUCACCAUUAAUUUCUCACCAUUUCACUACCUUAGACCUCCAUUUUAGACCAAAUAACCUAACACCAAGGCUAACUGUUGGGCAAAUCGGCAAGUGUACCGAGUCGCACAAGUAAUAUAAAAUGGUAAGACCAAGUAUCGUAUCCCAGAGGACUCUUGACGUUGAUUAGUUGUGUGAAAACAAGAUUAAUUAAGACUGAAAAUAAAAGAGAUCAUGGAUUUGUGUUUCAAAAAGAAUAAAAUAAAACAAAGUAAAAUUGAUCAAUGGCAAAAGAGCACAAAUGUGAAUUGAGGUUGAUUUUUAUGAGAUGAGUAUGUUGUUGGGGUUAGACUUCACCAAGUUUCCUCUCAUGUAUAUAAGAAUUCUUCUUUUGCUAUUAAUGCCAACGUCCCUCACUAAAAUACUUAAACCCGAUGUCUCUGUAAAUAAGCAUGUCCUUAAUUACCAGUUCAUGCAAUUCCUAGCGUUCCUGGUAAAAAGAUGUGAAGAUCAAGAGGUUAAGACGACUAAGGCUCAUAUCCUCAUGUUUGAGCAAUAUGACCCUUAGGAGUAAUUUAACAAGGACCUGAAUUGCAAGGAACCUGUGAACACUCAUGCAAAUAACAGAUCAUGCUAUUGUAUAAGCAAGCAAUAAGAACAAAUAAAUUACUCUAACAAUUAAUGGAAAAAUCAUAUGAAAUUAAGGAUCAAUUCAAAUACAUGAGAGUUUACAAGGUUACAUCAUUCCCCAACAACAAAUAGAAAUUAGUUCCCUAUAGACAUGGGGGAACCUAUGAACAAUGGAAGAAAGAAAGAGAGAAUGGAAGACUAAGAAUUGGCUAAGAGUGUAUUGUUAUGCUUUUCUCUGCCAGGGAUGCUAAACCUAGAGUCCCAGGGUCCUUUAAAUAGUGUCAGAAGUGUCCCAGAGUGUGGCCUGGUCCAAAAGAAUCAAAUCAGAGUAGAAUCAGGGCCCGAUCCACGUCAAUUCUCGCUCAAGCGUCGUAGGGAGCUCGCCCGGGCAUGAAUCAAGGGUUCUGUAAGGCUUGGGCACCAGUUUUCAAUGCCUUAGAGAAUUACAUCAUAGAGCAGCCCUGGCCUGGUCCAGUCAGUUGUGACUAGUCAUAUGUGUUGGCAUCCAAGGUGAGUUUGAUGCGUUCAGACAUUUGUGUCCUCUCCGGUGACCAAUUAGGGUAAAGUAAGAUCUCUACUAUGAUGAAAAUUAGAGAAGUAGUUUACCAAAUAAGAACCAUUUUGGAUGUUUGAUGGGUAGUGAAGGAGUGAUUUUGAGACUUUAGGGUAUUGAGUGCAUUUGGUUUGUUUGGGCAGUUUAGACAAGUCAGUUCUGACUUGUUAGGCAGAUAAAAUUGAACUAAAACACAUUAGGAUGCGAUGUUUUGAAGUUAAAUUCAAGCCUAAACAACUUUGGAAUCACUGUAUAAUUGGUAAAAUCCAUCUAGAUAAGUUUAAAUAGGUGUCUAUCACAAAUUUGGGGUGUUAGAAGUUAGUUGGGAGUGGUGCAGGAGUUAGAAAAGUAUGAUACACACACACACACACAUAUAUAUGUAUAUAUAUGUGUGUGUGUGUGUGUGUAUAUAUAUAUAUUAUAAAAUAAUAUGGAAAUAUAAGUUAGGAAAGCAUGAUAUAUAUUAUAUUAAUAUAAUAGGGAUAUAUAGAUGCAUGGGAGUCCGUAUGAUAUAAAUUGUUAUCAUAAUAUUUAUAUAUAAAAGAAAGUAUGAGAUAUAUUAUAUUAAUAUAUUAUAUAUAAGAGAUGCAAGAGAGUAAAUAUGAUAAUAAAAUAUAUUAAAAUAAUAUUGUUUUAUAGAAAAUUAGUAGUAAAGAUUACGUAUGAUAUUAAAUUUUACCUGUGGGGAUGUAUUAUUUUACAAGAAAUUGUAGAGUUUUGUAGUGUGAUUGAGAUAACAUGACAAUUUGAGAUGAUUGGAAGUGGUUGUGGAGCAUGUUCUGUACAUAUGACUUGAUCUUUAAAGCUUAAGCAUGUGGUUUGAUUAUAAUUCAAAGGUAUAUGAAUUGGGAAAGAAAUAAAGAUGGUUUUAAGGUUAUUGGUGGUGGUUUAAUUGUAAAAUCUCCUGGUGAGAUUCUUAGUGUUUUAGAAUGAAAGUAGGAGCUCAGUCUUAGGGGUCUUCCUGACGCUCCAAUGGCCUUUCUUCUAAAGUAGAGAGGAUUGGACCAUGUGGUGAGGAGUAGCAGGAGAUCUUAGUCUUGGAGGCUUCCAUCAUGCUCUAGGCGUGGAACAGACUAAUCUCGUGAGUGUGGCAGGGCGGGGGAGCCCAGGGUAGGAGAGCCUAAGUAUCACAAGCCACCACGGGUGCAUGACUCGCCAUAGCUUGACUAUCAUUAUAAAGUCCGAACGAGUCAAGUCUAUAAUAUAAUAUGCUAGGAUCAGUGUCAUAUAUUGCAUUGUAUGUAUUUUACUUGAGUUAAAUCUGAUAUGUAUGUGUUGUUAUAAUUGUAUGCUUUUUAUAUAAUUAGCUCACCCUUGCAAUUGUUUGUGUUUGUGCCAUGUUUGCGUUUAUUUCCUUUGCGAUGAUCAUCCACUUGGAUGGGAGCAGAUGCCGAGGAAG
rnacentral:lncRNA from 1 species